rnacentral:rRNA from 1 species
ACUUGGCUUGCUACUGGACCUAGCGGCGGACGGGUGAGUAAUACUUAGGAAUCUGCCUAUUAGUGGGGGACAACGUUCCGAAAGGAGCGCUAAUACCGCAUACGCCCUACGGGGGAAAGCAGGGGAUCUUCGGACCUUGCGCUAAUAGAUGAGCCUAAGUCGGAUUAGCUAGUUGGUGGGGUAAAGGCCUACCAAGGCGACGAUCUGUAGCGGGUUUGAGAGGAUGAUCCGCCACACUGGGACUGAGACACGGCCCAGACUCCUACGGGAGGCAGCAGUGGGGAAUAUUGGACAAUGGGCGCAAGCCUGAUCCAGCCAUGCCGCGUGUGUGAAGAAGGCCUUAUGGUUGUAAAGCACUUUAAGCGAGGAGGAGGCUUACCUAGCUAAUACCUAGGAUAAGUGGACGUUACUCGCAGAAUAAGCACCGGCUAACUCUGUGCCAGCAGCCGCGGUAAUACAGAGGGUGCAAGCGUUAAUCGGAAUUACUGGGCGUAAAGCGCGCGUAGGUGGCCAUUUAAGUCAAAUGUGAAAUCCCCGAGCUUAACUUGGGAAUUGCAUUCGAUACUGGAUGGCUAGAGUAUAGGAGAGGAAGGUAGAAUUCCAGGUGUAGCGGUGAAAUGCGUAGAGAUCUGGAGGAAUAC